rnacentral:rRNA from 1 species
GGCUUCAUACAUGCAAGUCGAGGGGCAGCAUAAUUACUUGUAAUUGAUGGCGACCGGCGAACGGGUGCGUAACGCGUAUGCAACUUACCUUUUACUAGAGAAUAUCCAAAAGAAAUUUUGAUUAAUGCUCUAUGUUCUUAAUUAUUCGCAUGAAUAUUUAAGCAAAGCUCAGGCGGUAAAAGAUGGGCAUGCGUCCUAUUAGCUUGUAGGUGAGGUAACGGCUCACCUAAGCUCUGAUAGGUAGGGGUCCUGAGAGGGAGAUCCCCCACACUGGUACUGAGACACGGACCAGACUUCUACGGAAGGCAGCAGUAAGGAAUAUUGGACAAUGGAGGCAACUCUGAUCCAGCCAUGCCGCGUGCAGGAAGACAGCCUUAUGGGUUGUAAACUGCUUUUGUACAGGAAGAAACCUUUCCACGUGUGGAAAGCUGACGGUACUGUAAGAAUAAGGAUCGGCUAACUCCGUGCCAGCAGCCGCGGUAAUACGGAGGAUCCAAGCGUUAUCCGGAAUUAUUGGGUUUAAAGGGUCCGCAGGCUGUUUGUUAAGUCAGAGGUGAAAGCCUACCGCUCAACGGUAGAACUGCCUUUGAUACUGGCAGACUUGAGUUAUUGUGAAGUAAUUAGAAUGUGUAGUGUAGCGGUGAAAUGCAUAGAUAUUACACAGAAUACCAAUUGCGGAAGGAGAUUACUAACAAUAUACUGACGCUGAGGGACGAAAGC